GGGACACGUGGUAUCCUGUCUGAAUAUGGGGGGACCAUCCUCCAAGGCUAAAUACUCCUGACUGACCGAUAGUGAACCAGUACCGUGAGGGAAAGGCGAAAAGAACCCCGGCGAGGGGAGUGAAAAAGAACCUGAAACCGUGUACGUACAAGCAGUGGGAGCACGCUUAGGCGUGUGACUGCGUACCUUUUGUAUAAUGGGUCAGCGACUUAUAUUCUGUAGCAAGGUUAACCGAAUAGGGGAGCCGAAGGGAAACCGAGUCUUAACUGGGCGUUAAGUUGCAGGGUAUAGACCCGAAACCCGGUGAUCUAGCCAUGGGCAGGUUGAAGGUUGGGUAACACUAACUGGAGGACCGAACCGACUAAUGUUGAAAAAUUAGCGGAUGACUUGUGGCUGGGGGUGAAAGGCCAAUCAAACCGGGAGAUAGCUGGUUCUCCCCGAAAGCUAUUUAGGUAGCGCCUCGUGAAUUCAUCUCCGGGGGUAGAGCACUGUUUCGGCAAGGGGGUCAUCCCGACUUACCAACCCGAUGCAAACUGCGAAUACCGGAGAAUGUUAUCACGGGAGACACACGGCGGGUGCUAACGUCCGUCGUGAAGAGGGAAACAACCCAGACCGCCAGCUAAGGUCCCAAAGUCAUGGUUAAGUGGGAAACGAUGUGGGAAGGCCCAGACAGCCAGGAUGUUGGCUUAGAAGCAGCCAUCAUUUAAAGAAAGCGUAAUAGCUCACUGGUCGAGUCGGCCUGCGCGGAAGAUGUAACGGGGCUAAACCAUGCACCGAAGCUGCGGCAGCGACGCUGAUGCGUUGUUGGGUAGGGGAGCGUUCUGUAAGCCUGCGAAGGUGUGCUGUGAGGCAUGCUGGAGGUAUCAGAAGUGCGAAUGCUGACAUAAGUAACGAUAAAGCGGGUGAAAAGCCCGCUCGCCG
rnacentral:rRNA from 1 species